UACGUAGGCAGCAAGCGUUGUCCGGAAUCAUUGGGCGUAAAGCGCGCGUAGGCGGCCCUGUAAGUCCGUUGUGAAAGUCAAAGGCUCAACCUUUGAAAGCCGAUGGAUACUGCAGGGCUAGAGUCCGGAAGAGGCGAGUGGAAUUCCUGGUGUAGCGGUGGAAUGCGCAGAUAUCAGGAGGAACACCAAUAGCGAAGGCAGCUCGCUGGGACGGUACUGACGCUAAGGCGCGAAAGCGUGGGGAGCGAACAGG
rnacentral:rRNA from 1 species